rnacentral:rRNA from 1 species
UGGGGAAUAUUGGACAAUGGGGGAAACCCUGAUCCAGCGACGCCGCGUGGGUGAAGAAGGCCUGCGGGUUGUAAAGCCCUUUCGGUAGGGACGAAAGCUCUCGACCUAACACGUCGGGAGGUUGACUUAACCUACAAAAGAAGCACCGGCUAACUCUGUGCCAGCAGCCGCGGUAAUACAGAGGGUGCGAGCGUUAAUCGGAAUUACUGGGCGUAAAGCGCACGUAGGCGGCUUGGUAUGUCGGGUGUGAAAUCCCCGGGCUCAACCUGGGAACUGCAUCCGAAACUGCCUUGCUAGAGUAUGGGAGAGGGAAGUGGAAUUUCCGGUGUAGCGGUGAAAUGCGUAGAUAUCGGAAGGAACAUCAGUGGCGAAGGCGACUUCCUGGACCAAUACUGACGCUCAGGUGCGAAAGCGUGGGGAGCAAACAGG